rnacentral:rRNA from 1 species
GAUGAACGCUGGCGGCGUGCCUAAUACAUGCAAGUCGAGCGAACGCACGAUAAGCUCGCGUCUCUGAUGUUAGCGGCGGACGGGCGAGUAACACGUGGAUAACCUACUUAUAAUACUGGGAUAACUUCGGGAAACCGCAGCUAAUACCGGAUAAUAUUUUGAACCGCAUGGUUCAAAAGUGAAAGACGGUCUUGCUGUCACUUAUAGAUGGAUCCGCGCUGCAUUAGCUAGUUGGUAAGGUAACGGCCUACCAAGGCAACGAUGCGUAGCCGAUCUGAGAGGAUGAUCAGCCACACUGGAACUGAGACACGGUCCAGACUCCUACGGGAGGCAGCAGUGGGGAAUAUUCCGCAAUGGGCGAAAGCCUGACGGAGCAACACCGCGUGAGUGAUGAAGGUCUUCGGGUCGUAAAGCUCUGUUAUUAGGAAAGAAAAGAUGUAUAAGUAUAUGUGCCCGUCUUGACGGUACCUAAUGAGAAAGCAACGGCUAACUUCGUG